rnacentral:lncRNA from 1 species
CCGAGCCGACCCGAGCCGAGCCGAGCCGGAGCAUGACGACACGGGCCGGCGGACCGACCGACUGACCGACCGAGACGGAGCGACAGGCGGAGAGGCGAGUGGGGGUGGGUGGGUGACAGUGCUGAGUGACAGACGGACAGAGACACAGAGACGGACAGAAACACGGCGGUACGGAGACGCAGAAACACGGAAACACAGACAGGCUGACGGACAGCGGACGCUGGAGUGAAGUCAGAGACCGAGACCGAGAGCCGGAGGCGAGAGAGAAGAGAGGAGAAGAGGAGAGAGGGAGAGAGAGAGAGAAAUCACUGUGACGAGAGGUUUCAUGUCGAGGUUUUGAAAUGAGUGACAGACCCAGACGGACAGACCCGCCAGCUCGCCAGAUAGCAGGAAUGUCGAGUCUCGGUGAGGGAGACGACGUGCUGGCGCGCUGGAGCGACGGACUGCUGUACCUGGGCAACGUCAAAAGAGUGGAUGAGGUCAGACAGUGCUGUCUUGUGCGAUUUGAAGACAACUCCGAGUUCUGGGUCCUGAGGAAAGAUAUCCACUCCUGUAAGACACAGAGAUCUCUUGUGCCAUUAUUUAUUAAUAAGAAUAUUGGAAAAUGAGAAAGAUGUCCCCUGCUCUCUGGGUCUCUCUCAGUGCAGUGUUCAUGUACUGGAGUGUCCAGUCAG